rnacentral:rRNA from 1 species
UACGAAGGGGGCUAGCGUUGCUCGGAAUCACUGGGCGUAAAGCGCACGUAGGCGGAUCUUUAAGUCAGGGGUGAAAUCCCGAGGCUCAACCUCGGAACUGCCCUUGAUACUGGGGAUCUCGAGUCCGGAAGAGGUUGGUGGAACUCCGAGUGUAGAGGUGAAAUUCGUAGAUAUUCGGAAGAACACCAGUGGCGAAGGCGGCCAACUGGUCCGGCACUGACGCUGAGGUGCGAAAGCGUGGGGAGCAAACGGG